UACGAAGGGGGCUAGCGUUGCUCGGAAUUACUGGGCGUAAAGGGCGCGUAGGCGGCACUGUUAGUCAGGCGUGAAAGUCCUGGGCUCAACCCUGGGCGUGCAGUGGAUACGGGGCAGGCUGGAGGCAGGCAGGGGAGAACGGAAUUCCCGGUGUAGCGGUGAAAUGCGCAGAUAUCGGGGAGGAACGACCGGUGGCGAAGGCCGGUUCUCUGGGCCUGUGCUGGACGCUGAGGAGCGAAAGCGUGGGGAGCGAACAGG
rnacentral:rRNA from 1 species